rnacentral:rRNA from 1 species
UACGUAGGGUGCAAGCGUUUAAUCGGAAUUACUGGGCGUAAAGCGUGCGCAGGCGGUUAUGUAAGACAGAUGUGAAAUGCCCGGGCUUAACCUGGGAACUGCAUUUGUGACUGCAUGGCUAGAGUUUGGCAGAGGGGGGUAGAAUUCCACGUGUAGCAGUGAAAUGCGUAGAUAUGUGGAGGAACACCGGUGGCGAAGGCGGGUCUCUGGACAGUUCCUGACACUGAGGCACGAAGGCCAGGGGAGCAAACGGG